rnacentral:rRNA from 1 species
UGGGGAAUAUUGGACAAUGGGCGCAAGCCUGAUCCAGCCAUGCCGCGUGAGUGAAGAAGGCCUUCGGGUUGUAAAGCUCUUUUGUCCGGGAAGAAAAGCAUUCGAUUAAUACUCGGGUGUCCUGACGGUACCGGAAGAAUAAGCACCGGCUAACUUCGUGCCAGCAGCCGCGGUAAUACGAAGGGUGCAAGCGUUACUCGGAAUUACUGGGCGUAAAGCGUGCGUAGGUGGUUCGUUAAGUCUGAUGUGAAAGCCCCGGGCUCAACCUGGGAACUGCAUUGGAUACUGGCGAUCUGGAGUGCGGUAGAGGGUGGCGGAAUUCCCGGUGUAGCAGUGAAAUGCGUAGAUAUCGGGAGGAACAUCCGUGGCGAAGGCGGCCACCUGGACCAGCACUGACACUGAGGCACGAAAGCGUGGGGAGCAAACA